rnacentral:lncRNA from 1 species
ACGCCGCCGUCGCAGGGGAGAGCAAUGACGACCUUUCAGCGUACGGUCAAAGCCUCCCUUCAGAAACCCCUUUAACAGGGAACCCUGGUAUAGCCGCCGCAAAGAGGAAGAUGGACUAAAGGAUUCUGCCCAAGGCCUGAUACCGCCAAAGUUGUGACGUUUUGCUACGGGAAAGGCGAAACCUGCCAAUGCAGGGAAAUUCCUUUCCGGCCCUUUAACAGCGACCUUAUCGUAGCAGCGCCCGCAUACCUGUGAAGAAAAGUUAACCUGCAAAACCUAUGAAGAAAAGUUAACCUGCAAAGGAAGACAUUAACUGAGGGUGGGUAGGGUGGGAGAAGCUCUGGAGCCAAGUGAGGAUUCCCAGGUAAGAUCCUCCCUCUAUUGUGUGGGCAGGUAAUCCCUCCCCUACCUGGCCUGGUCUCCUUGGCAACGCUUCCCCCAGGUGGGAUUGGACAACUGACUGAGGUAGGCGGGGACCUCCAGGUAUCCCACCUGAGGGAAGGCAAAGCCAAGCCUAUGCUGAUGGGGCCGCUCCAGAUCUAGGGCUGAGCGCGUUUUAAGCGGGGAGCGGUCAUUCUGUGAGAUGCGUGUUGCCUCUGAACCCGGAGGUAGCAUAAGCAGAGAGCCAACCUCUUGUCAGCCUCUGGCCUCCAGCCACUCCAAACUCUGAACCCACCAUAAAAAAAAGGUUCUGCGGUUAAAAACCUACCAGAUGCAGCCUUCUCCCCUUGAUCUCCCAGCCUAAAAAUACUCUUCUCUCUUCACCACAUUUUGCUAUAAAAACACCUUUGCAAUAUCACAGGCCAUUAGAGGGAGGUUGCCUGCAGGACUGGGGCAGGCGAAACAAGCGUCACGCCUAGGGAAAGCCUGCUGCCGCUGAAAAGUGCAAGGCGUUCCGUUAAAAAACCCAAACCGAUUAAAAGGAAAUAAGACCAAAAAAAGAGGACUUGCACCAGGAUAUUCCCCACCCUCAGACGCAAACCAAAGAAAGCAAUAAACAGUUGGCUCCCGUGACUGCGAACAGAAUGGCAAAUAUUCAAUGGUUCGGCUCUGCCACUGAGAUGGGCAGAAAAAUGCAACUAAAAGAGAAUCGCUCGCACUCUCCUGCCCCGCUCACCCCAAACCAGAUGAGAGAAGGACGCUUUAUAUGAAAGGAAGCCACAAUCUUGGCACUAAAUGACAAAGCACACCUCAGAUUCCAGAGGCAACCAUGUGUCUCUUUAAUGACUAACAGAUUUAUUGGCGCAUACGUUACCAUGGGCUAAAGCCCUUCAUUAAUUGUUUGUUUGUUGUUGUAUUAUUUCAUAUACCUCACUUUUCUGUUCACGACAGCUUGGGGGGUGGGAGACUGACAAUGAAAUUGCAACAAUAAAAGAAAAAGCAGAAGCAAAAUACAGCAUAAUACAGUGUCCUGUUGUGCUCCAAAGACCUGCUGGAACAAAUAGGACUUGCUGCCUGAUUGAACACAGUGCGGGGGAUAAUCGGCUCCCUACAGAGGGUGCCACCACCAAGAAGGCUCUGUCUUGUGUGAAAACACCCACCCCCACCCCUAACCUUCAGGCCAUAUCUCAUGAGGUAACCACAGGCACAGCUUCCCCUGGAGUUCACAAAACUUGAGUUGGCUGGUACAGAGGAAGAUGCUUCUUCAAGUGCUUUGUUCCUUCAAGUUGCAUGAAACACCUCCCCAGCUGGUGGAUAUUUGGCACAUACGUAUAUGGCUAGAGAAUGGAGAAAAUGUAAACAGUGGAACUGAAAAGUCAUGAAGUGCAAGAAGCACAGUUAAGGUCCAAGCAUGGGGGGCAUAGGGCCUUAGUACAGGGGCAGCUAACAUCUUCUGGGCGAAUGGCUGCACUGACCCAUGGCUAUCCCACCGAGGGCUGCAUGAUAAAGUGAGAUGGCAGAGGUGAAAAAAUGGAUGUGGCCAAAACAGAACAUUAAUAAAUUUUAUCAAGGCGCUCUCUCUCUCUCUCUCUCUCUCUCUCUCUCUCUCUCUCUCUGGUAAAAAAAAUGAGCUGCUAGCACUCAUAUAUUCAUAUCAUAUUAAAAAUGCCCUGGCUGACAGCACAAAAAGGAUGUGUGAUGGCACUCCACACUAGUGAGUAAGAUCACAAAAAAUGCAAACUGCCUUUUAUUACAUUUCAUUCUAUUCCUAAAUCCCUCAAAACUUGGUCUUUCCAUGAGCUGGUGAAACUCACUUGGUAGCAAAAAGUGAAUGUCAUCAGCUCAGUCCUGUGGAAUUCUGCCGGCACCUUCUGUUUCAACUUUUUAAACGCCUGCUCAAAACUCUUCUAUUCCACCAGGUUUAUGCAAGCGCUUCAAAACACUUAUUUCCACAAAGGUUAACUAAUGUCUGUUUUUAGCUUCUUCUUUUUUUAAUGGUUUUACUGUAUGGUUUUAUGUACUUUUGUUGUAAACCACUUUGAUAUUUUUAAAUGAAAUAGGAGUAUAUAAAUGUUUAUAUAUAUAUAUAUAUAUAAUAAACUGAUUCAAUUUUUAUUUUAACCAUUUUCCUCAAAGUCUCAAAGCAUCGCAGUGGAAGAAACAGCACAGCCAGCAGUUAACAGAAGUGAAGGGAACAGUCUGAUGAUCGGCAGCACUAUUAAUAGAGCAUCCAGAGGCAGCAACAGGAAAACAUCAAUUAAACAUUUGGAGGGUUUUUUAAAAUCAUCAAUUUACUUAAAAGUGACAAAAAUUAACUGAUGCCCAAUGAAGGUAAUUAACCUCAAGAAAAAGUGGAUAGGUCUCCCUCUCUCUCUCUCUCUCUCUCUGUGUGUGUGUGUGUGUGUGUUGCCAUAAAAAAUAUGUAUUUCCAAAGAAAAACCACAAAAUUGUGGCAUUGUUAUAUUGAAACCGGACCUCCCUAGCCAUCGGCUUAACACUGAGGUGCCGUGCAAUGUUUAUGAACAUCUCAAUGUGCUCAGGAGUUUAAAAUAAAACAUGCCAGCACACUAGGCCUAUGCAACAGAGAAAGGAAAAGGCAAUACUACAUAUCUGUUUGGCUCGUGGUUAGACUUGUGUAUUUGAACGUUGGAUUUGCAAUGUAACGACACCAGUAUAUGAAUUACGUGUCUGAGUAAUUGUGUACAUCAAUAUUGUGAAUGAGUAGGCUCAGCAAGUGUGUGAGAGAGCAGAGAAUAUGAGUGUGGUGUGAAAACUGGAAUCAGAAAAAGCUCUACAUUCAAAAAAUUGACUUACAUAGAUCUCUGCUUCUACGACUACUGCUACAUUUAUCAUCUUUACCUCAAAGGUAAUGCACAUGGCUCAUCCCUUCCCCAUUGCACCCCCACAGUAGCCCUGAGGGAAGUCGAGAGGCAGGCCCAAAGUCAAUCGGUAAGUUUCAUGGUGGAGCGGCAUUUGAACACAGGUCUCUCCAGCCUCAGCCCAAUAAAAUAAUCAGUACAUUACACUGGCGAACAACAACAAGAAGAAGAAUUUAGGUUUGUGGCGGCAGUGCAUUUGAACUUAUUCUGCCUGGAGUCCUGUUACUUUUUCCCAGCCGGAAGUAAAAAUCCGAAAACCUGUAGUCUUGUGAGAGAGCAGUAGAAAAUGCUCGCAAGCUAAAAUGUGCUUCUUUGCAAGACCUUCUCCCUGCCAAUAAUACAAUGCCACACACCACAAGAAGCUUGAGGAAAACCCCAGCUACACUUUGCAUGAUACAAUGUAUAGCUUGUGCCAUUAAUUUCUCAUUUUCCUUUGUUAGCUCUGCGAAUGACAUCAUGUUAAGUCCUGAAGCAUGACACUUCUGGCAGGACUCCUGUUUGGCUGCUUGCAUGGAGUUAAAAGUUCUUUUUUAAGCGUUAUCCUCUACGUUUAAUAAGAAUGAUUAAUGGAAGUGACUUUUUAAUGAUUUUGUUUCCUCCUCUUUGGAAUAAGGUGUGCCCUGGGGGGGUGGGGACUUGCCACCACUCUUGCAGCCACAGAUGGGCCAUCGCUGUCACUCGGAGGUUCCUCGGAAGAAAAUCAGAAUACGCUGGCAUGUAAAUCUCACUGAACUCAAGGGACCGUAGCUCAGCUUUGAAAGCUGCCGAUGGAGCCAGGAAUUACCAAUUCAAACAAAGCUCAACUUUUGUUGUUGUUUAGUCAUUUAGUCAUGUCCGACUCUUCGUGACCCCAUGGACCAGAGCACGCCAGGCACUCCUGUCUUCCACUGCCUCCCGCAGUUUGGUCAGACUCAUGCUGGUAGUUUCGAGAACACUGUCCAACCAUCUCGUCCUCUGUCGUCCCCUUCUCCUUGUGCCCUCCAUCUUUCCCAACAUCAGGGUCUUUUCUAGGGAGUCUUCUCUUCUCAUGAGGUGGCCAAAGUAUUGUAGCCUCAGCUUCAGGAUCUGUCCUUCCAGUGAGCACUCAGGGCUGAUUUCCUUCAGAAUGGAAAUAAAACAAAUAGAACGGUUUGAUCUUCUUGCAGUUCAUGGGACUCUCAAGAGUCUCCUCCAGCACCAUAAUUCAAAAGCAUCAAUUCUUCGGCGACCAGCCUUCUUUAUGGUCCAGCUCUCACUUCCAUACAUCACUCCUGGGAAAACCAUAGCUUUAACUAUACGGACCUUUGUUGGCAAGGUGAUGUCUCUGCUUUUUAAGAUGCUUGUCUAGGUUUGUCAUUGCUUUUCUCCCAAGAAGCAGGUGUCUUUUAAUUUUGUGACUGCUGUCACCAUCUGCAGUGAUCAUGGAACCCAAGAAAGUAAAAUCUCUCACUGCCUCCAUUUCUUCCCCUUCUAUUGGCCAGGAGGUGAUGGGACCAGUGGCCAUGACCUUAGUUUUUUUGAUGUUGAGCUUCAGACCAUAUUUUGCACUCUCCUCUUUCACCCUCAUUAAAAGGUUCUUUAAUUCCUCCUCACUUUCUGCCAUCAAGGCUGUGUCAUUGACUACACAAAAGCCUUUGACUGUGUCAACCACAGCAAACUAUGGCAAGUUCUUAAAGAAAUGGGAGUACCUGAUCACCUCAUCUGUCUCCUGAGAAAUCUCUAUGUGGGACAAGAAGCUACAGUUAGAACUGGAUAUGGAAUAACUGAUUGGUUCAAAAUUGGGAAAGGAGUACGACAAGGCUGUAUAUUGUCCCCCUGCUUAUUUAACUUAUAUGCAGAAUUCAUCAUGUGAAAGGCUGGACUGGAUGGAUCCCAAGCCGGAAUUAAGAUUGCCGGAAGAAAUCUCAACAACCUCAGAUAUGCAGAUGACACAACCUUGAUGGCAGAAAAGCUCAUCUGAGACCCACUCUAUACCGAAAUGUCAAGGCUGAGGACUAUACAAAGCUAAGGGGAGAAGCUAAGGUGGGGAGAAAGCUUUUUGGCACUGCGGCCUGUGUUGGCACUCAGCCCUUACGGCUGGAGAAAUGCCAGAGCUUUAAAUCUAUAUAUCAUCCCCUGCACCGUAAAACAAAAACGGCACAGAUUAUCUUUCCAUAAUCCUUCCAUAAAUUAGCUAGAAUUGUGAAGCUUGGGUAAAGAGAAUAAAAGGGAAUCCUUCCUUUACGCUCCUUUCUGGUGGCCUGCUUCUCAGGUGAAUGCUAUUAACAACAUCGUCCGUAUUUU